GUGACCAUUUCAAGAUGGCCGCGCCCUCAGUUUGGCGACAUGGCGUUGUUCAUUUUGUAACAACACAGUGUCAGUCAGUGUAAAACAGCUUGUCAAAGCCUGCACACUCUUAUUCAAGCCCUCCUUUGACGCUGGCAGUAAUGGAUAAAGACAGCUUGAUUCUCCCCGAAGACUUUCCAGAGCUGAAGAACGACACAUUCCUCAGAGCCGCUCGAGGAGAAGAGAUCGAGCACAUUCCAGUGUGGUGCAUGAGACAGGCUGGCCGCUAUCUGCCAGAGUUCAGGGAAUCGAGGGCAGGGAAGGAUUUCUUUGAGACAUGCCGCUCCCCUGAAGCUUGCUGUGAGCUGACGUUACAGCCACUCAGACGAUUCCCAUUGGAUGCUGCCAUCAUCUUCUCUGACAUCUUGGUGGUCCCUCAGGCCAUGGGAAUGGAGGUUCAGAUGAGUCCAGGAAAGGGCCCCACUUUCCCAGAACCACUGAAGGAGCCUGAAGAUCUGCAGAGACUAAAGACUAAAGUGGACGUGUCGUCUGAACUCGACUACGUUUUUAAAGCCAUCACACUGACACGACACAGAAUCGAGGGAAAAGUGCCUCUCAUCAGCUUCACUGGAGCUCCGUGGACUCUGAUGUCCUACAUGAUUGAAGGAGGAGGCUCUGCGACGCACUCAAAAGCUAAACGCUGGCUCUACAGGUACCCAGAGGCCAGCCACAAACUCCUGAGCCAGCUAACAGACGUCAUAGUGGAUUAUCUUCUCGGACAGGUGAAAGCUGGAGCUCAGGCUCUGCAGGUUUUCGAGUCUCAUGCUGGUUGCUUGGGCCCAGUGGAGUUUAAAGAGUUUUCUCUGCCUUAUCUGAGAGACAUUGCUCGCCGUGUUAAAGCCAAGAUCAAAGAAUCUGGUUUGGACAAUGUGCCUAUGAUCGUUUUUGCUAAAGAUGGUCAUUAUGGGCUCGAGGACCUCUCUGAGUCUGGUUAUGAAGUUGUGGGUCUUGACUGGACCAUAGAUCCUCGUUCAGCACGUAUCAGGACUGGAGGAAAAGUUAGUUUGCAAGGCAACAUGGAUCCCUGCGCACUUUAUGCCACAAAGGAGCGCAUAUCAGAGAUUGUGAAGAGGAUGUUGGAGGCCUUUGGCACCAAGGGCUACAUCGCUAAUCUGGGCCAUGGCCUGUACCCUGACAUGGACCCAGAAAAUGUGGGCGCGUUUGUAGACGCCGUUCACAUCCAUUCUCGCCAGCUCCUCAACCGCAAAUAAGAGGUUACUCUCCCAUCAGAAGACCUGAACACAAGAGAAGCAGCAACUGUUGAGCCGAUGCACUGUACGAUCACUGAAGAAUGUGAGGGAUAAAAUCCGAUCAAAUCCUAAGAGCUGUAUGCAUUUGUUUUUGAUGGAGUACCACAGUAACAUCUGGGCUUGAGACUGUGUUCACUGGAAGUGACUGACACCAGAGAACCUCUGAGAAUGUGUGUACAUAUCAAUGGAUGUUUUAUAUGAAGCGCAAUAAAGAGUAAUUCCUUUAAUCACAAA